rnacentral:rRNA from 1 species
CUACGUGCCAGCAGCCGCGGUAAUACGGAAGGUCCAGGCGUUAUCCGGAUUUAUUGGGUUUAAAGGGAGCGUAGGCUGGAGAUUAAGUGUGUUGUGAAAUGUAGACGCUCAACGUCUGAAUUGCAGCGCAUACUGGUUUCCUUGAGUACGCACAACGUUGGCGGAAUUCGUCGUGUAGCGGUGAAAUGCUUAGAUAUGACGAAGAACUCCGAUUGCGAAGGCAGCUGACGGGAGCGCAACUGACGCUGAAGCUCGAAGGUGCGGGUAUCGAACAGGAUUAGAUACCCUGGUAGUCCGCACAGUAAACGAUGGAUGCCCGCUGUUGGUACCUGGUAUCAGCGGCUAAGCGAAAGCAUUAAGCAUCCCACCUGGGGAGUACGCCGGCAACGGUGAAACUCAAAGGAAUUGACGGGGGCCCGCACAAGCGGAGGAACAUGUGGUUUAAUUCGACGCAACGCGAAGAACCUUACCAGGUCUUGACAUUGAUGGACAGAACUAGAGAUAG